UCAGUAACACGUAGUCAACAUGCCCAGGGGACGUGGAUAACCUCGGGAAACUGAGGAUAAACCGCGAUAGGUCACUACUUCUGGAAUGGGUAAUGACCCAAACCUAUAUGGCCCCUGGAUUGGACUGCGGCCGAUCAGGCUGUUGGUGAGGUAAUGGCCCACCAAACCUGUAACCGGUACGGGCUCUGAGAGGAGGAGCCCGGAGAUGGGCACUGAGACAAGGGCCCAGGCCCUAUGGGGCGCAGCAGGCGCGAAACCUCUGCAAUAGGCGAAAGCUUGACAGGGUUACUCUGAGUGAUUUCCGUUAAGGAGAUCUUUUGGCACCUCUAAAAAUGGUGCAGAAUAAGGGGUGGGCAAAGUCUGGUGCCAGC
rnacentral:rRNA from 1 species